GCUCACUUCAGGAGCUCAUGUAACAAAACUGGAAUGAUACAUGGAAGAUAAGCAUAGCCCUUGCACCAAGAUGACGUGCAAAUUGGUGAAGCAUUGCCUAUAGUU